rnacentral:rRNA from 1 species
CUUGAAUUUUAUAAGAGGUCCAGCCUGCCCAGUGACUCUGUUCAACGGCCGCGGUAUCCUAACCGUGCGAAGGUAGCGUAAUCACUUGUUCUUUAAAUGAGGACUAGUAUGAAUGGCACUACGAGGGUUAUACUGUCUCCUUUUUCUAAUCAGUGAAAUUAAUUUUCCCGUGAAGAAGCGGGAAUAUGACUAUAAGACGAGAAGACCCUAUGGAGCUUUAAACAACCCAGCAAUUACUUCUAAAAAUUUUAAAUUUCAGAAUAUUCAUUUUUUAAGUAAUAUGUCUGCAAGUUUUUGGUUGGGGUGACCAUGGAGAAUAACUUAACCUCCAUAUUGAAUGAACUCCAUUCUAAGCUGAAAAUUACCAAUUAAAGCAUCAACACACUGACAUUUAUUGACCCA